UACGGAGGGUGCGAGCGUUGUCCGGAAUCACUGGGCGUAAAGGGCGCGUAGGCGGCAUGCCAAGCGUGUGGUGAAAGCCCGGGGCUCAACCCCGGGUCGGCCGUGCGGACUGGCGUGCUCGAGCACUGUAGGGGCGGGUGGAAUUCCGGGUGUAGCGGUGGAAUGCGCAGAUAUCAGGAGGAACACCGGUGGCGAAGGCGGGUCUCUGGGCAACAACUGACGCUGAGGAGCGAAAGCGUGGGGAGCGAACAGG
rnacentral:rRNA from 1 species